GGAGGCUGCCAGACAGAACACCAUGAAUGCACUCUGCCCUGAGCUCAAAGAAGAGAAAGGGAAAGUGUUGAUACACAGAAGCUGCAGCUAACACAAAACUUCCUUCCGUCACAUCAUUUCUGAGCUAGAAGGGGCCUCACCAGACCCUCUCACUUUACAGCCCCGUGAGGAGUGUUCCAUUGUUCACCCAUUUUACAUAUGAGGAAACUGAGGCACAUCGCUGCUAGGAAGUGAAAGGACCUGGAUCUGAACCCAUAAGCAGCUGGAGCCUGCAGCCUGGGCUGUUAAUCACAUCGCACCAAUGCCUCGUGCCAGAGACGAGAGGAGGAUGCCAAGUGAAACCAGUGUGAUCAUCCAAGUGAAAUACUCAGACUUAUGCAGAAAAUUAACUGUCCCUUACUAAAUUUUGCAAAUUCUGUGUUCUUAGUUCAGAUAUUUCAGGACGGAUAGGUAUGGUUUUGGUAACCAGUCUGCUGUCUGAUGGAUCUGUGGGGGCUGAUGUGGAAGGAGGUGGGUCCUCUCCAAACUCUAACAAGGCUUCUGCCAGCAGUCACCACCCUAACAUCUUUUAAAAAUUCCUCUUCUGACACUUGCAAAGGGCCUCUUAACAUCUCUACUUCCUCGAUCAAGCUUCCUUUAGCUAACUGGUACACACAACUAUCCAACGUUUGUUUUGUAUUAAUAGUGUGCUGGACUGUAUAUAAAAUACAUUAUGCCAGCAUUUGCCCAGUAGAACUGCCACGUUAAAAUUUAGCAUGUAUAGGGGCUUCCCUGGUGGCGCAGUGGUUGAGAAUCUGCCUGCCAAUGCAGGGGACACGGGUUCGUGCCCUGGUCUGGGAAGAUCCCACAUGCCGCGGAGCAACUGGGACCGUGAGCCGCAGUAACUGAGCCUGCGCGUCUGGAGCCUGUGCUCCGCAACAAGAGAGGCCAUGACAGUGAGAGGCCCGUGCACCGCGAUGAAGAGUGGUCCCCACUUGCCACAACUGGAGAAAGCCCUCGCACAGAAACGAA